UUCCUCUUAGCUCAGUGGUAGUAGCGCAUCACUCGUACGUUCUCUUGUAGAACUAUCCGACAUGAUGAGGUCAGUCGUUCAAUCCGGCUAGCGGGAA